AUUAAAUUUUCUACCUUUUAUAUUUUGAUGUAAAUUUUAUCAAUUUUUAAUAAUAAAAUUAAUUUGAACUUUAUAAAUAUUAAAUUUACUUGUUCUAUGCAUCUUGCAUCCUCUUCCUUAUUUUCUUUUUCAUACUGAUCCAAUGGAUACAAAUAUUGUGGAAAAGGUGCAAUUGGCCAUGGAAGAGAAGUGUUGAUAUAUUACAACACUACAUUAAGGUACCUUCAAAGGAAAGAAUUGACAACUCAGGACAACCAGGUGGUUUAUUAAAAGGUGCAUUUUCUUUUUCUUUCUUUGUAAACUUAUUGCCUUGACGAUGUCUUUCUGCAUAUUUUAUAAAUGCCAUUUGCAUAGCAUAUUCAGUUGAACAAUCACCACAAUUAGUUGUAAAAACACAUUGUAAUCCUUUUGGAGCUACCUGAUAAAUAGUAUUAUAUUUAACAAAUUCCUUUUUAUUUACUAUUUUUAAUUAUUUUUAAUUUUAUUUUCAUUGACAAAAUAAAUAUUUUUUAAAUUUUAUAAAUAGAAAUAUCUUACACAUGGUUGAAGCAAUGUAUCCUGUAAUUUACAUGGCCAUUCUAAACCAGGGAAUAAACCUAAUGCAGGUCUGUUUGCCAUUAUUCGCUACAAAUUUAUUAUAUUAAUAUUUUUUUUAAUUAAUUUUGUGAAUAUAAUAAUUCCAAUAUAAUAAUUUGGAAUUAUAUUUACUUGAUUUCCUGCACAAGAUAAUGCACCAAGAAUUGAUCUAUGAUUAUAUCCAAGAGGAAGAGUAGAAAGUUGCAUAAACAUAUCUAAAAAAACAUUUCCAUCUAUAUCUGCUAAAUAAUUUCCAACAGAUCUUUGAUAAUCUGCAAAAUAUUGAAUGGAGCCUAUUUGCUGCAAUAUGUUAUAAUUAUAUUAUAUUAAUGUGUGC